UGGCUUUGGCUACCACUUACAGAUGGACCCGCGGCGCAUUAGCUAGUUGGUGAGGUAACGGCUCACCAAGGCAACGAUGCGUAGCCGACCUGAGAGGGUGAUCGGCCACACUGGGACUGAGACACGGCCCAGACUCCUACGGGAGGCAGCAGUAGGGAAUCUUCCGCAAUGGACGAAAGUCUGACGGAGCAACGCCGCGUGAGUGAUGAAGGUUUUCGGAUCGUAAAGCUCUGUUGUUAGGGAAGAACAAGUACCGUUCGAAUAGGGCGGUACCUUGACGGUACCUAACCAGAAAGCCACGGCUAACUACGUGCCAGCAGCCGCGGUAAUACGUAGGUGGCAAGCGUUGUCCGGAAUUAUUGGGCGUAAAGGGCUCGCAGGCGGUUUCUUAAGUCUGAUGUGAAAGCCCCCGGCUCAACCGGGGAGGGUCAUUGGAAACUGGGGAACUUGAGUGCAGAAGAGGAGAGUGGAAUUCCACGUGUAGCGGUGAAAUGCGUAGAGAUGUGGAGGAACACCAGUGGCGAAGGCGACUCUCUGGUCUGUAACUGACGCUGAGGAGCGAAAGCGUGGGGAGCGAACAGGAUUAGAUACCCUGGUAGUCCACGCCGUAAACGAUGAGUGCUAAGUGUUAGGGGGUUUCCGCCCCUUAGUGCUGCAGCUAACGCAUUAAGCACUCCGCCUGGGAGUACGGUCGCAA
rnacentral:rRNA from 1 species